rnacentral:lncRNA from 1 species
GAUGGUAAAGAAUAGAACCAAUUCUGGCUCUGACCGCCAUCGGUACUGGAUGAUGCUCCCUGAGGAGGAACUAGACGACCUAGUGGAGCUGGUCGCUAGUAGUCCGAGUCUGGGGGCAAACAUACUUGCUUUCCUACUUAGUAUACAGACACUCUUUGAUUCUAUGACCUAACUUGCCACAUCCAUAACAACCCCUUCUUCCUAUUAAACACU